rnacentral:rRNA from 1 species
GGUGAAAAGCACCCCGGAAGGGGAGUGAAAUAGAACCUGAAACCGUGUGCUUACAAGUAGUCAGAGCCCGUUAAUGGGUGAUGGCGUGCCUUUUGUAGAAUGAACCGGCGAGUUACGAUUUGAUGCAAGGUUAAGCAGUAAAUGUGGAGCCGUAGCGAAAGCGAGUCUGAAUAGGGCGUUUAGUAUUUGGUCGUAGACCCGAAACCAGGUGAUCUACCCUUGGUCAGGUUGAAGUUCAGGUAACACUGAAUGGAGGACCGAACCGACUUACGUUGAAAAGUGAGCGGAUGAACUGAGGGUAGCGGAGAAAUUCCAAUCGAACCUGGAGAUAGCUGGUUCUCUCCGAAAUAGCUUUAGGGCUAGCCUCAAGUGAUGAUUAUUGGAGGUAGAGCACUGUUUGGACGAGGGGCCCCUCUCGGGUUACCGAAUUCAGACAAACUCCGAAUGCCAAUUAAUUUAACUUGGGAGUCAGAACAUGGGUGAUAAGGUCCGUGUUCGAAA